rnacentral:lncRNA from 1 species
CAAAUUAUUUAUCGAUCACAAAUCACAAAUAUUAUAAGUUACAACUUAUUAAACAGUCAUAAAUUAUCAAAUUGUCGGUAAUAAAUUAACAAUUUUUUAGGCUACAAAUUAUUUUUUUGUCACAAUUUAUCUUUUCUAUUAAUAACAGAUUAACCAAUAUAAUAGUUACAGUCAACCAAAUAAUUUGUAACUACUACCUCACCACUACCUCCAAUAACACCACUACCAUCGUCGUUGCCAGAACUACCACCACCACCUCAAACAAAUUGACACAUCACAGAAAAAUAUGACUACACAAUCGUACUUCAUCCACUACUGCCCUGAUAGACCCGUCGCCACCAAAAUCUCGCCAUCACCACCGCAACCACUGUAAAAACCACUAGCCCGUUGAUUGCCUCGCCACUACUAAAAUAUGGAAGCUGCCACCACCACCAUUCCAACAACAACACCAUCACACCAACCGGUACUAGCAACACCACCACCAUCGUCGCUACAUCCUAUCCCCACUAUCGCUUGCUCCAACCGUCCACCACCUUCACCUUCACUUGCAACUUCAACCCACUAACACAUCACCACCACACCAUAGCCAUCAUCCCACCAACAAAACACCAAACAGGCAACAAUCACCAACAAAAAUAUACCAAAACUCCGAUAAAGCAUCAGAUUGGAGGAAGAAACCACCAAAAAAAGGAGCUUCGAUGGCAUGGACCUUAUCAGUAGAUCGGAGGAAGAAACCACCUCAUCACCACCAUUUUUGUGAGUGUCAUACGUUGCAGCACAGCACAAUGCCACUUCGAGUGCGUGCAUCGAUUGUCACAAGUUGUGUGCAUCAACUAUUACGUAUAGAGAAUGGAGAGAGGAAGGAGGGAAGAAGAGAGCAGUGGGAGAAAGCAGAGGCGGUGGCGGGGGGUACUGGCUGCUUCUCACAAUUGUGACACAUGGUUGCGCCGUCAACAAAGAGAAAAUGGAGAACGGGGGAGGAGGAAGAGGAGAAGAAAAUUUUAGGGUUUGAAAGUGGAUGAGGUGAGGCUUUCUACGGGUGGGAAAUACAUGGAAUUGAUCCAUUUUUCCAAAAUGGCCUUU